rnacentral:tRNA from 1 species
GGGCAGUUAGUUCAGCUGGUUAGAACGCCUCGCUUACACCGAGGAGGUCGCUGGUUCGAGUCCAGCACUGCCCA